rnacentral:rRNA from 1 species
GAUGAACGCUAGCGGCAGGCUUAAUACAUGCAAGUCGAGGGACAGCACAGGUAGCAAUACUGGGUGGUAACCGGCAAACGGGUGCGGAACACGUACACAACCUUCCUUUAAGUGGGGGAUAGCCCAGAGAAAUUUGGAUUAAUACCCCGUAAUAUAGUUGAAUGGCAUCAUUUGAUUAUUAUAGCUACGGCGCUUAAUGAUGGGUGUGCGGCUGAUUAGAUAGUCGGCGGGGUAACGGCCCACCAAGUCUACGAUCAGUAGCUGAUGUGAGAGCAUGAUCAGCCACACGGGCACUGGGACACGGGCCCGACUCCUACGGGAGGCAGCAGUAAGGAAUAUUGGUCAAUGGACGCAAGUCUGAACCAGCCAUGCCGCGUGAAGGAUUAAGGUCCUCUGGAUUGUAAACUUCUUUUAUUUGGGACGAAAAAGGGUCUUUCUAGGUCAACUGACGGUACCAGAUGAAUAAGCACCGGCUAACUCCGUGCCAGCCGCCGCGGUAA